CGUCUGUCAUAUGUCUAGACUUAUUCGACUUGAGUUCGAGAGUAGAAAACUCUUUUCCACUAUAUAUUCUGCUCUGGCCAAGGUCUUAGAACUCAGUCUAAUAAAUCACAUAGGAUCACUCCUCAUCUAUCAAGGUCGAUAGAUUCAAUGUAAGUGCAUACCCUACUCCUACAGUGAACCUACUGCAGCCAAUCUACACAACAAGGACCCAUAUGACUAGAGACCAUGUAUAUGUGCAGUCAAAUUACAAUAACCUCACUGUGAAUAGCCGAAGCACCGCAGGUCAAAGGACCAGUCACACUACUGCAACAUCAAGCAAGUCACUGACGAGUGGAUAGACAUCCAAGUGACUUCUUGUCUUGGUCACGCUUAGUACCUUUGUUUUCUAACAAGCACCUGCACUCUCACUUCAGUGUCCCUACUCCCUACACUGUGGACUCGAGUUUCGUCCAUCCAUAAGGAAAGCAAUCUGUGCGUUGAUUGGAUCGAUCACCGUCCUCGUGAUGAUCCAUUAAUCAGGAGCAUUUAGAAAUUAAUCACCAAUGAUACAUGGCUCAAAUUCUCAACUCUUGAGAAUAUGUAUCAUCUUAUUAAUUUCUUGGACGAUUCAUAGACAAACAAUAUGAAUGAAAAUAAUGCCCAUUUAUUGUUCAAUAAUAAUAAAGUUAAGUACAAAUUUAUGUCUCAGAAUUAAUAAUGUGUCCGUCAGAUUGGCUUCUAGGGCAUACAUCUAACAUGAUGUGGGGAAGAAAACUGAGAUUCAAUUCCAAGAGGACAACGGAUUACAAGGAAUGGUUGGCCAAGGGACGGGAAGUGUCCUUGCCUAUCCUAAGAACCAUCUAAGGGGAGUGAUGUUCUCCGCCUUAGCCCAAGCCUUUCGGCCGAAUGACCCUUAAGGGACCUAAGGGAUGAAACCCUUUACAAGACUCAAAUGACAAUUGAUAUGAUAUGAUAAGAUAUCCUUGGCUCGGCCCUAAUGGCCUCUUCUUAUAGGCCUAAUGCCUUAUUAGCAGAAUGCCUUCGAAAUUCAA
rnacentral:lncRNA from 1 species